rnacentral:piRNA from 1 species
UGAAAAAGCAAAUCCAGUUGCUGCUGCUGC